GCAAACUUGGUCAUUUAGAGGAAGUAAAAGUCGUAACAAGGUUUCCGUAGGUGAACCUGCGGAAGGAUCAUUAUAAGAUUCUAACGGUUCUAGCCCGUAAAAAGGCUAUGAACUAUUCAACCCUUUGUGAACCAAACCUUUCGCUUCGGUAGCAAGCACAGUUAAUUCUGUGCUGUAAGCCUACCGGCAGCACCAUUAAACUUUAAAUAUUGUCUGAUUAUUAUAUUUUUGAAUUAAUCAAAACUUUCAACAACGGAUCUCUUGGUUCUCGCAUCGAUGAAGAACGCAGC
rnacentral:misc_RNA from 1 species